CAAAAAUAACCGCCUCCAGUUCGGAUUGUAGUCUGCAACCCGACUACAUGAAGCCGGAAUCGCUAGUAAUCGCGAAUCAGAAUGUCGCGGUGAAUACGUUCCCGGGUCUUGUACACACCGCCCGUCACACCAUGGGAGCCGGAAAUGCCCGAAGUCAGUGGCCCAACCCCAAAGGAGGGAGCUGCCGAAGGUGGAGCUGGUAACUGGGGUGAAGUCGUAACAAGGUAGC
rnacentral:rRNA from 1 species